AUGCGGUACGGCAAAAGCCGCCUGAAUGCAGAGAAGACAAAGUGUAUGCAGGAAGUGGUUUGCGGCUGUUCGGGCAAACCGACAAAGGAGAACAGCAGGUCCUGUCGCUGUGAGUGUCCGGCCAUGAUUAGUCUGCUUAGAACAUCAGAUAAUGGCUGGUACAUUACAGAACACAGAGCAAACCGCAAACCAUGCUUUGACGCAGACAUGUGGGGAGAAGGUUACGGGUGUUCUAGGCUAUACCGAGAUAUCAGAAACUCUGAUACCCAAGAGGUGGACACAGGAUGCAAGGGAUGUUUUGCCGCCACACCUGAGGGUGUACCAGCGGGAUCAUGCUGGGGCCAGGAUGAUGACAAAUCGGCACACAACACUUUAUGUGCACGCGAUGGAAUUGGUACAACUAGGGGAUGCAUCAGUGGAAGCAUAUGA
rnacentral:rRNA from 1 species